UACGGAGGGUGCGAGCGUUGUCCGGAAUCACUGGGCGUAAAGGGCGCGUAGGUGGCGAAUCAAGUCAACGGUGAAAGCUCGACGCUCAACGUCGAGUCGGCCGUCGAUACUGGCUCGCUCGAGCACUGUAGAGGCAGAUGGAAUUCCGGGUGUAGCGGUGGAAUGCGUAGAGAUCCGGAAGAACACCGGUGGCGAAGGCGGUCUGCUGGGCAGUUGCUGACACUGAGGCGCGACAGCGUGGGGAGCAAACAGGG
rnacentral:rRNA from 1 species